GUCAGCCCUGGAGACAGGGAAGAAGGAUUCGAUCAUUGACAACUGAAUCGGCAGAAAAUACAAGAAGAGGGCAACGCAGGACCGGGGGAACCCGGAGAAUGCGAGUCAACAAGCUUUUUGGAGCAAGGGCGAAGAGUAAGCGUUCAAGUGACAAAGGGCAGACGGGGAAUGCCUAGGCAGCAGGAAGGCGAAGAAAGGACGUGGCGAGCUGCGAAAAGCUUCGGGGAGCCGCUCACAGGCGUUGAUCCGGAGAAAUCCGAAUGGGGGAACCCCACUGGGGAAUGCCCCAGUGAGCCUUGCCUGAAUUCAUAGGGCAAGGCGGCAAACCCGGGGAAGUGAAACAUCUCAGUACCCGGAG
rnacentral:rRNA from 1 species